rnacentral:RNase_MRP_RNA from 17 species
CUCCAUCCGAGUUUUGGCGAAGAAGGCGACAGCCUGAGCUGCAUGGCGAGGGCGGUGGAGACGAUUGUCAGAGCAUAGUUAUGCAAAUGGCGAGCCACACUGUGGAAACGCUAACUCAACGGGGCUUACCUUCUU